rnacentral:misc_RNA from 1 species
AAGUCGUAACAAGGUUUCCGUAGGUGAACCUGCGGAAGGAUCAUUACACAUAUAAAGUAUGCCUGGGAAAAUUCGAAAGAAAAGUACCCAGGCGUAUUCUUAUACCCAUGUCUUUUGCGUACUACUUGUUUCCUUGGUGGGCUUGCCUGCCAUUAGGACACCCCUACAAACCUUUUGUAAUUGCAGUCAGCGUCAGAAAAUAACGUAAUCGUUACAACUUUCAACAACGGAUCUCUUGGUUCUG